CGGGGUGUGGCGCAGCUUGGUAGCGCGCUUCGUUCGGGUCGAAGAGGUCAUCGGUUCGAAUCCGGUCACCCCGAC
rnacentral:tRNA from 1 species